rnacentral:rRNA from 1 species
GCAAGUCGAGCGGUAGAGAGAAGCUUGCUUCUCUUGAGAGCGGCGGACGGGUGAGUAAUGCCUAGGAAUCUGCCUGGUAGUGGGGGAUAACGUUCGGAAACGGACGCUAAUACCGCAUACGUCCUACGGGAGAAAGCAGGGGACCUUCGGGCCUUGCGCUAUCAGAUGAGCCUAGGUCGGAUUAGCUAGUUGGUGAGGUAAUGGCUCACCAAGGCGACGAUCCGUAACUGGUCUGAGAGGAUGAUCAGUCACACUGGAACUGAGACACGGUCCAGACUCCUACGGGAGGCANCAGUGGGGAAUAUUGGACAAUGGGCGAAAGCCUGAUCCAGCCAUGCCGCGUGUGUGAAGAAGGUCUUCGGAUUGUAAAGCACUUUAAGUUGGGAGGAAGGGCAGUUACCUAAUACGUGAUUGUUUUGACGUUACCGACAGAAUAAGCACCGGCUAACUCUGUGCCANCAGCCGCGGUAAUACAGAGGGUGCAAGCGUUAAUCGGAAUUACUGGGCGUAAAGCGCGCGUAGGUGGUUAGUUAAGUUGGAUGUGAAAUCCCCGGGCUCAACCUGGGAACUGCAUUCAAAACUGACUGACUAGAGUAUGGUAGAGGGUGGUGGAAUUUCC